UCCUCUGAUGGCAUGAAAUCUUUGAGAACUGAAUUAUCUAUUUUGAUGACAAUUACAAGCAUCUUUUCUGAGGAC